rnacentral:lncRNA from 1 species
AUGCAGGAAAAGUUUCCCAUCUUUAUCCUGAUUGCAUCUGAACUAUUGGAUUUAUCUGGUGCCUCCAGAGACGAGCCUCCCGUCAGUGGAGCACCAGGCCUGGGCUCUCCCGGAGGAGCCCAGCUGAGAGCCGAGAGCAGCCCGGUGCCCAGCGAGGAGCUCCCCGUUACAGGAGGUGACUCGGCGGAGGUGACGUUCCACUUCCAGACUGCGGGGAUUGAUCCUACCAGUGAAAUGACAGCUGACUUCAUUCCUGUCCGCACAGAGACAGCUGCAAGAGCAACAGCCACGCUGCCUAAGGAGGUGGUUAGAAACUUGGAGGGGUCUGAUCAACAGCCCGCUUUAAAACUGCAGGAUGGAGAUGCAUUUUCUAACGAACUCCUGAGUAAUGUAAGUGUCCCCACCUCUGCACGAGGCUCACAGGCCACCACCCAUCCAGAGCAGUCAGAGAGGUCAGUGCCAGGCAAAGCACAAACUGUCCCUGAGGCUGCUGUCAGCCCGACCAGCUCCAGCGCUGGGCUGCCCCAGCCCACUCCCACUGGGGGGGUGCACCAAGACUCUCGGGGGGUUGCAGCUGUCUCUCCCAUUCCUGUUAUCAAGCAGACGGAGGUGCCAAGUCCUAAAAUUUCUCUUCUGACUUCAACGGUAAAUUUCCAUCCUCCAAGAAAAGAAACAGCACCAUCUCCGUUUCCGACCAGCGUUAAGAUGGCUUUUGUAAGUGCAGGGCUGGGCCGGUUACCACCAUUAGCACCUCCCACUACCAAAAGGCCAAGGGAUGCAAGUCCCCAAGUCCAGCCUGACAGCAGAGCUGCUGUGACACCUACAUACGUGAAGAGGACUCGGAGUGUGGAUGCUCAAUUUACUACUUCUGCAUUCCCACAAAAGCCAGCUUCGGUGGGCCUUGAUGCAGCUUAUUUCAGAGUGACACAGACAACUGCUGUUCAGUUUUCCCCUCUUUUAUCUCUGAACCAAGAACCAGCAGGCAGUGAAGGCAGAAACUCAGUAACAGCUGUAAUAAAUGGCUCUAGACACACAACCCUAUUGCCUGCUCUUCAGCAGCUCCUGCAAGGCAAUGCACAGUCGUCUUCAUUGCUGAUGCGUCCUGAAGCUCUAGGUCAUGACGAAUUGAUUCCACCUCCGUUUCAAGGGCCCAUUGAUGCAGCCGAUAAACCACAGCCUCUCCUCUUGUCCCAGACUCUCAACUGUACUAAACACCAUGCUUCACAUGACACCAACAGGAGCGCUCAGGAAAGCACAGUCCUAGCUUUACAAAGAGAUACUGAUCACCUGAUGAUGACAAGUAAGCCUGAAAAAUCCAGAUCCUCUGAGAGCCCGCAGGCUUCUUCUAAUUCAUCUUCAUCGGGCCAGUCACAAACCUUCACGUUAAACCUCUCCCAAACUACUAGAGAGCUAAAAGGAGCAACAUCUCCACUCCUUCCAGGUGCAUCUACCUUUGAGAAGACAGCCCUUCCACCUGUAACCACUUCUGCUGCUGUUCACGCAGCACUUCAGCCACUAGCUACAUCUGUUGCUUCCUAUGCUGGAUUGCAGCCGAUGGGUGUCCCCACCUCUGCCGCGAGAGGACUCCACGUACUGACUUCAUCUGCUGCUGCUGGUUCUGGGUCUCAGGUUCGAGGCGUUUCGGCCCAUCCCGGACCUCGGGAAGCGUUCGCUGUGGUGCCGCAUAUGAGCACGGUGGGAGAUUCCAAGGGACAGAAAAGUUUUCCACAUCAGAUAGAUAAGGCUGGUUCUCCUCCCCUGACUCCACAAGCCAGCGUGGUCUCCAGCCCCUCUGGACUGCAGGAUGAGAACCAGAAAGCUUCUCUUGACAGCUCUGCCCCUUCAGCCUCCCCCAUCCAGCACGCUGGCAGCCUGGAAGCUUUUGUUGGCAGACUGCACCCACCCCACGCACAGGAAAGCCAGUCCAGCACAACAACAGCACGUCCUGAGCCAGCGGUACCUGUUGUUUCUGAGAUCCCAGCACAUCUGGCCCAAGCACUGCUGCAGCAGUUUGGUGCAUCGCAUGAUGCAGCUACCAAAAACCUCAGUGCUCUCAGAACCGAUCACCCUAAAAUGCUUCCGUCAUCCCUGUAUUUGUCCUUUUUGCUUAGGAAUACCGACGGCAUGAUAUGCCUGCUUCCCAUGCAAGAGUCCCCUUUGCCUGCAAGUUUCCCUAAUGUCAGUGUUGGGACUCUGGUUUCUGUUCAGCAAAUCCUGGCAGCAUCAAACUCUUCAUUAGCAGAUCUUGCAAACUUGCGAAAUGGGAGUCCUUCUAGCUUAAUUCUGGUUAAGCCUGUAUUUAUCCUUUUUCCCACGGACAGAGCAGACUUACAGAUGGUGCCCUCUCCUCAGGGUGAAGAUGACCACAAAAGCGCCCUCUCAUUCACAAACAAGCAAGGUCAGACCGUGGUUACCCAUGAACACAGCCGUGAUAUCCCAGAGAAAACUAGUUCCUCGCAUCCCACUAGUGAGUCUCUGAGACCUCAAACUACUCUCUCCACUGCUUCUGACCAGCGAGCGGAGAAAGCCAAAGUUACUUCUCAGCCAGUGCUGACUACUGCGAGUUACGUGGCCAUCCCUAGUUCUUCUCAAGCCACUGCCCCAGCAGCAGCUCGCUUGCUGGACCCGCAGCUGAGGACGAGCACAGCAGCGCAGGCUCCUCACCUACAGGGGCUGCCUGAGGAGCUGCAGGCAGCUGCUGCCCCUUCCCCAGGGGCUGAGGUGCCUUCCCCUGGUGGGAUGGCAACCGAGCCUCCCGCCUCCCUGGGGCCACCAGUACUGGUGCGGGCACAGCACAGCCCCCCUACAGCCCCCACAGGAUUUUUCAAAGCUGAAAAGCCGCUUUCUUUUUCUGUAACCCCUUUGCUGUCAGCAGUGGGGCUCGCUGGUCUUCCGAUGCCGGCCCAGCCUCCGUUUACUGUCGCAGGGGCUGUGGGUCAGGUGCAGCACGGUACGGGACUGACGCUGCAGACCACCACCCAUGGCCAGGGCUCAGUGAGCCCGUCUUCCUCUGCCCGUGCACCGUGCACAGAUUGUUUGAGCUCAGCUAGAACUGUAAAAUACCCGCUAAAGAUGUCCCCAAACAUCGUGCCUUUGCAGUCCACGUCGCAAAGUCAGCUAAGCACCGAGUCGCUCCAAAGGCUGCCGUCACAAGUUCCAUUUGUACCCAGCGCUGUGUUGGCUUUCUCAGUAUUUCCAGCUGGCAAUGAUGGCAGAGGCUCGGCAGCGGGCAGCACUGCCUCUUCUGGAGUCACUCUGCGUGCUAAAGCAGCACCCGUCCCCCCCACCUCUAUAAAGCCUGAUCUCACCAAGCACUUGGAAUUUGUUACCAUUGUGCCCAAGCCUGUUGUCAGGACGGAGACCCCAACACCAGUACCAGCGCGUACCCUAUUUGCAACAAAGGUCAAAGCAGCAGCUUCUGGGAAAUUGCUGGCGACCAGCACCCCCCCGAGGAUGUACGGCAGGUCCCCCGCGAGCCUGCCCUCACCGGUGUCUGCCCACGUUCCCCUGCCAUCGGCUGUGAAACGUGAGCAAAGCAGUCGAGCACCUUCUGCAUUGUUCUCACCGGCCAACGUGGGAGAAAAUGGGAAACCAACCGAAGGCAGCGCAAGCCCGAGAAAAAUGGGAGCUGGUGGAUUCUUGGGAACCAGCACGUCUCUGCCGGCCGUGUUUAGCACAAAGACAGAGCAGCCCCCCGCAGCAGCUCUCGGCAGCCAGGCUGGUGUGGCUCCAGCACAGCCGUCUGCGGCUGCAGAGCCUAUGAUUGCUCUCGAGAGCGAGCCUAAAUUGACACAGACCACCUCGCCAUCUCCAUUAGCGGUGACUUCUCUCUCUGCGGCUAAGAAUGAUUAUAUCACCGCUUCAUUUAGCCAAAAGAAAGUGUUUUUCCUGCCAACAUCGGCUCUGCAAUCUGACCCGAACGUGGUGUUUCCUACAAUUGCCGUAAUGAGCAGCUCAGCUAAGGUCCCUGCAUCGGGGGCGAAGAGCGAGGGCGUGUUUCUGAAAGGGGACACAGCCACCGCCAGCCAGGUGCCUGGUCGGGCAGCCACCUCCUCAGCACCUCGGGCACGGGAGGAGAAGGUGCCCCUGGGAGCCAGCACGGAGCAGGAGGCUGGCCACUCCAGCCAGCACGCUGCUGGGCAGGCCGCGGGGCCGUCUACAGCAAAAUCACUUUCUGUGCCUGCGAGUAAGGUUACCAAUCGGCCAGCUGCCUUAAAUAAAGCAGCUGCUGAUGGUGCUGAGAUGCUCCUAACCAGAGACCUGAGCCCGCUGCCUCCAAGCCUGGGGAGCCCCUCGCAUCCUGCGGGGGCCGUGGCAGCACGCACAGCAGCCAGCGAUCCCUGGCCGGGUGCUACGGCCACUGCACCCACCGAGGGGCUGCUCCCGGGCACAGAGGCCGAGGAGGAGGCCGGACCACACGGGGUGACCCACGGAGACCCCGCAGGCUCAGAAUCUGCUCUAAUGCCCCCGGGUUCGGAGCCCAGGGCGCUGCUGAGUGAAUCCCGGCAGAGGAGGGUUUUGCAGCAGGACGGUGCCGUUCUCAGCGGGUAAUUGUCACGGCGAGUUGGUGUUUGGGCUGUGUGAUUUAUGGGGUGUGAGGGGUUAAUAUCCAAAUGGCUCCAUGAGCUCAGCAUCACGGGUAUGAUGUAUUGUUGUUUCCAAAACGUUUAGUUCAUUCUGCAAUGACCUCACAUCUUACAGGAAAAAAUCUUUUCAUGUUUCAGAUAUUAAUGCUGUCCUUUGGACCUCGCUUUCUUUUUCACAGUAGCCUUUGACUCUCUGCCUCGCCUCCCAAAACAGUUCUACGUGCAGAUUUGCAAGUGGAAGCAUCUGCUAGUACGAUCAAUGUGCUAGCAAAGAGGCAGAUAUCCCCGCACAGCGCCACGCUCCCACGUUUCCCUCGCUCAGACGAGGUGCCUGUGCAGCCGCAGGAGGCUCUUCUGUCCAUGGGAGGCUCUGCCAUGCCGGGGUCCAGUUGCCGUUCACCUGAAUUCAGCUCGUUUGCAAACUGAGCUCACCGAUCUGCUUGGUUUCACUGAGGGACCUGAUCUUAAUGCAGAGCUGGGCUGGGCUUCAGCUUCUUUCCUUCUUUCCCUCCAGGAUCGCAGUUGUCAGCGACGAGGCCUGUGGCUCUGGCAACUACACGGUGCAGAUGAGCCUGCGCCCUGCGGCAGAAGCGAGCCCGGAGCUGCAGGGCUCAGCACCUCCCCAGGACGCCUUCCUGGCCUCCCUGGCCGUGCGGAGCAGCAGCAGCCAGCCCGUGCUGCGGGUCCGCUCCUGCUGCGUGACGCCGUCCAGCAGCCCGGGGGGCCCCGGUGCCGUGUGCUGCCUGCUCCCCAGGUACGGCAUGGGCUUGGCCUGGGGACACCCCUCACUCCUGUCCCAGGGCUGCAGCCCGGCCUCUUUGGUGCUGAGCAAAAUGAAAGCGGUGGGAAUGAGUCCAGGAGUGCCCUGCUCCCCUCGCUGUCAGCACCAAGGGCUCCGUGAGACGUGGGGCUCUCCUCCCUUCACCCGUUAUUUUAUGCAAUGAGCCGUCCCACUUCCACGUGAAGUUCACGGCUAUUGCUGCCUAACCUGUCUGGGUUGAGCACAGGGGUGUUGGAGGAUUCAUGGGUUGAUGUUUAUAAAGCCACCGGGGCAUGAAAUGUGUCUUGGAAGUGCUGCAUGUUAGUGCCAUCAGUAAAAAGGGCUUUCAGGUUUACCUGUACUGGAUAUAAGGGGAGGUCACCUCUGCACUGCCUCUGGAGAUGUCUGGCUCAGGGAAGGGUCAUCACAUCACAGCAGCCUUUGUUAUGGUUUAGCGUGAUAACCCUCCAAGAAACAGUUCUGCUAUUCGAGGGUGCUGGCCUCCACAGCAGGUACACGUCCAGGCUGGGGUGCUGAGGCUGCUGGAUUUCUGUUUGACUCUGCCUGCAGCUACAGACACCUGGCCUAGAGCUUGUGCAGAGCAGUGCCAGCACAUCUCCCUCCUCCCUCCCUUACUCAGGGGGUGCUGGAAGUUGAAGCUGCUUCCGUUUGUCCUUGCCAGGCUGCUGUCCGAAUGCAGACACAUCCAGUUACUGCAGAGCAGCGAGCCCAGAGCUGCGAGCUUCACCAUCCAGCCGUUCCAGGUGCUGAAUCACUCGGUGGCCUAUUUGCACUGCGAGCUCAAUGUCUGUCUGCACGGCAAACCGGGCUGCGAACAGGUAAGUGGGAAGGGUCCGCCCUCGCUGGUCUUUUGAAAAGAUUUGGUGCUUCCAGCAAGUGCGGUCGAUGUAAAGAGCCUUGAUGGUAGGCUACAGAGCUCCACCUUCUGCCUCCUGCCCUCCUUUUAAUCUCCUGCACACUGUGUGUCUCCUAAAGCCCCAGGUGAAUUUCUACACCUGGUUAAGCCAACUGAGCUCGCCGUGCUUUAUUUUCACUUUCUGACCACAAAUGAUUUACCUUUGCCUCGUGUAGUCCACCUAAGAAGCAUAAUAACAAGCAAGUUAAUCGCUAGGGAAAGGAGCUAUGGAAUUGACACAGGGGCAGGUCCAAGUGUUGGGCAAAUCAUCCUUGGAGCAGCAGCAGAGCUGGACGGAGCCCAAGCCCAGGGGACGGCUCCAGCUAUGGGGACAGAGCAGAGCCGCUGGUGCGGGGUUCUGCCCAGGCACCGCCGUGUUCGGGACACGUUCAGAGCCUUCCACGUAUCUUCCCCAGGGCUGCUUUGACAGUGUGGAGCCGCUUCCCCAGCCAGGUGACAGGAACAGCCCUGGGCAGCUGCACAACCUGAUCUCGUUUGGUCCAGUUCUGCGAACCAAGGACAGGUUUCUCUAUAAACCUGUGGAAGGUGGGUCCCUGAUUUGCAUCUCUCUCUGCCUCUCUCCUGCAGAAGUCUCUGCUCAGUGUUUCUGCUGUAAGAAAAAUGAUAGCAGAAUAAGGCUGGUCACCAAUUGGGAGCAUUUUCAUUUUUCUUUCUGUCCGCAGGUGAAAUACAGCAGCUGGUUUAUGUUAAUCAGCUGUUGUCCAGCAGUUAGAAAGGAGAGAGAUUCAUUCCAGCAUGUCACGAGCAUGACAGACUACUUAAAUCAGUGGCACCAUCUCUGAGAGUCACUUAACUUUUGUGUCUGACAUUCUUAUGCAAAGACUAUUUACUGUGAGAUCUGAAGGCAAAGUGUUUGGGUCUUCCCAAAGAAAGGGAACUACCCAUCCAGAUUACUCUGUGGAAGAAACAGCCCUACCUGCUUGGUGUGCUGUAAAGAUGGAUGGGGUUUUAGCCUCCCCUUUCUUCUUCCUUACCUCCUUAACGCUGUUCACAGGUCGAUUACUUUAUUUCCAGGUCCUGAUUCUGCCAUGCUGGUGCCCAUUCUCCUGGGGUCCCUGACUGGCUUUGCUGUUUUGGGCAGUGCUUUCAUCAGCCUUUGGCUGCACCACAGACGGAAAACCAAAAGCCUAGGUUGUCCACAGUUUGGAGAAAUCCGCGGCCUGUGAACUAGGAGCAGCUGACCUCUGCAGAUCCCACACCACAGCUACAAUGAUCAGAAGAGCGAUUGAUUUUGCAUUGCACACUGUAUUGCUUUUGUAGAGCUUCUGCUGACCCAGGGAGCAAGCUCUCCAGCCGCUGCUUUAAGUGUGAAGGAGACCCACAAGCUGCAGCAUGGAGAGGGCUGUAGGAGCAGCUCAGCUAAAAGGGAGAGCAGAGCUUAAAAUGCCAUAUGUGCAAGCACCAGCACACAGUCUGUUCACAGAAAUGGAAAAGUUGUCAGGGUGCAGUAGAUCUACCUAAAAUAAAGCACUAGACUAGAGCCA